UUUGUCAGAAGGUUUUAUUUCACAAGAGAAAUACAGCGGUGACCACGACGUCUGCUGCCUUCAAAAUAAAACAAACAGGUUUCAUGAAACACAAAGCUCCUCUUUGACACGUCUGAAACAUGUUUGGCAGAAACGUUUGUGUUCAUGUCGGAGUAAGAAGCCGAUGGAGAGAAGAACGUUGGAUCUCACCUGUGUUCAUCAGUGCCCACCGUGGCCGUGGCCGUGACCACGACCGUGACCACGACCGUGACCUUUACCGUGACCUUUCCCGUGACCUUUCCCGUGACCGUGACGUUUUCUACGACGGCCACCUUGUCCGUCACUGCUGCUGCCGCUGCCGCUGCCGCUGCCGCUGCCGCUGCCACCGCUCUGGUCACGACGACGAGGGCUUUGAUUACGGCCCUCAUGAUCAUCUCUGUGGCGACGCCCUCCAUGGCGGUCUUUGUCAACAUCUCCAUGGCAGUCUUCACGGCUACUCCCUCCAUGGCGGUCUCUACCUUCAUCUCCAUGGCUGUCUUCACGGCGACCUCCUCCAUGGCGGUCUUUACCAUCAUCUCCAUGGCUGUCUUCACGGCGACCUCCUCCAUGGCGGUCUUUACCAUCAUCUCCAUGGCUGUCUUCACGGCGACCUCCUCCAUGGCGAUCUUUGUCAUCAUCUCCAUGGCUGUCUUCACGGCGAUCCCCUCCAUGGCGGUCUUUGUCAUCAUCUCCAUGGCUGUCUUCACGGCGAUCCCCUCCACGGUGGUCUUCACGGUCGUCAGGCCUGUAGUCUCCUGAUCUGGGGCUCAGGUCAUAGCCAGAGGGGUGUCGAGCAUCUGUCAGAACCAGAUAAAAGGGGUUUGUUUUAAGAAUAAAGCUUAAAGAAUGAGCUUCCCUUUGAGGGGGUUAGGGUUAGUUCUGAAUGAACAAGAAAAGAUGAACGUAUCUCACCUUGGGAUUGGUCGGUGUUGCUGAACAUUUUCUGUGGUUCUUCUUUGUGACAGAUACUUCCGUAAUGACUCAGACUAGAUCAAAGAAAACAAGCAGGUGCCUGUUAACAUGAAGUGAAACCAGUUUGACCGCAUCCAGAAAAACCAGCAGUUUAAAUCAGGUGAAAACUGGGUUCCUUAAGUAUGGAAAAGGCUUAAAAUGCUGCAGAACCUUUUCAAACAUGCGAUAAUUAGGUUAGUUUAGUUUUUAAUGCACACAGUUUGCUUAUUUUCUCCCUGUAACCAAGUUUAGUUUAGUUUGAGAAAAUAAAAACACUGUUCCAGAUUUGGGCUUUGACAGGAAGUCGCCUCUGGUUGUAAUGUUCUGCCCACCUUCUCUAAGCAGAUGUUCGCUGUCACACUCAAAUUAACUAAAACAUUUAUCAUUUUUCAUCAGAAAGUAACACAAUACGUUACUUCUUCUAAACAUGCUAAUCAAUCUGAACUGGUUUUAUUUCAUUCAAUCUCGAAAUCUGCAAAAGAUACUUCUAAAAGUUUCAGGUGAAAACCUCUCUCCGUAGACCGGAGGUUAAACCGCACUCACCUGAGAAGUUUCCCAGUCAACAACAUCAGAGACGAUGAAUACGAUUAAGAAGUACCUCGAUGUCACGCCUGCAUUCCCGAC
rnacentral:lncRNA from 1 species